rnacentral:snRNA from 1 species
GGUUUCUUAGCAAGACAUACAGUGAUUUUGUAAUAAUACAGAGAAGCAUAGCAUGAACUCUGUUAAAUGGUAUUAAAAUGUGUGAAGAAUUCUGUAUUUUU